AUUGAACGCUGGCGGCAUGCCUUACACAUGCAAGUCGAACGGCAGCACGGGUGCUUGCACCUGGUGGCGAUUGGCGAACGGGUGAGUAAUACAUCGGAACAUGUCCUGUAGUGGGGGAUAGCCCGUCGAAAGCCGGAUUAAUACCGCAUACGAUCUACUGAUGAAAGCGGGGGCCCUUCGGGCCUCGCGCUAUAGGGUUGGCCGAUGGCUGAUUAGCUAGUUGGUGGGGUAAAGGCCUACCAAGGCGACGAUCAGUAGCUAGUCUGAGAGGACGACCAGCCACACUGGGACUGAGACACGGCCCAGACUCCUACGGGAGGCAGCAGUGGGGAAUUUUGGACAAUGGGCGAAAGCCUGAUCCAGCAAUGCCGCGUGUGUGAAGAAGGCCUUCGGGUUGUAAAGCACUUUUGUCCGGAAAGAAAUACUUGGCCCUAAUACGGUCGGGGGAUGACGGUACCGGAAGAAUAAGCACCGGCUAACUACGUG
rnacentral:rRNA from 1 species